rnacentral:miRNA from 1 species
CUGCUCUCUCUCACUAGACUGUGAGCUCCCUGAGGGCAGUGCUCAGGGCUGAGAGGUGUGCUGGG